rnacentral:tRNA from 1 species
CGGGGUGUAGUUCAUCGGUAGAACGCUGCGUUCGGGACGCAGAGGUAGAAGGUCCAAUUCCUUUCACCCCGA